UGCUGUUCCUAGUUUCGGGUGUGUGAGUGUAUUUAUACAGAUUGUUCAAUGUUCAUUUUUGUCACAACAUUUUGCUACUACAAAGUUUCUACAGUAACUAUAAGACAGUGCAAGAGGAGAAGAUGAAGCUGAAUUACUUUCUCGGCAGUCUUUUGGUCAUGCUGUGUAUCUUUGGUGUAUUUUCAACACCACUUGGACAGCCAGUACAAUGCCAAAUCAGAGCUGUAAGAUUCCUUUUAAUCAACGGCAGGACCAUAUGCUCUGAUCCAGAGUAUCCUUGGGCCAAGCGUGCCAUAAGGAUUCUGGAUAGUAGAACAAAUAUAAACCCCUCAAAUUCUCCAAGAUAAAUCAGCUCUUGACUGGACUGAACAUUUUUGUCAGCAGUCAGAUACACAAGAAACAUGGUACUGUUGCAAUGCAUAGCUUAGAUAUAUUUGUUAUUUUCCAUGGUUGUGUAUCUUUACUGAAAACUAUGUACAUUAUAAUUAAAAGUAUUAUACAUUAAAUGCACAAUAUGCUCUGA